UACGUAGGGUGCGAGCGUUGUCCGGAAUUAUUGGGCGUAAAGGGCUCGUAGGCGGUCUGUUGGGUCAGGAGUGAAAACUCGGGGCUUAACCCCGAGCCUGCUUCUGAUACGGGCAGACUAGAGGUAUGCAGGGGAGAACGGAAUUCCUGGUGUAGCGGUGAAAUGCGCAGAUAUCAGGAGGAACACCGGUGGCGAAGGCGGUUCUCUGGGCAUUACCUGACGCUGAGGAGCGAAAGCGUGGGGAGCGAACAGG
rnacentral:rRNA from 1 species